rnacentral:rRNA from 1 species
GACGAACGCUGGCGGCGUGCUUAACACAUGCAAGUCGAACGGAAAGGCCUGCUUUCCCUUGUGGAUUGCGGGUACUCGAGUGGCGAACGGGUGAGUAACACGUGAGUGAUCUGCCCCCAACUUGGGUAUAAGCCUGGGAACCUGGGUCUAAUUCCCGAUAGGACUGCAGGGUGGUGCCUGUGGUGGAAAACGAUUUUCUAGUGGUUGGGGAUGAGCUCGCGGCCUAUCAGCUUGUUGGUGGGGUAAUGGCCUACCAAGGCGGCGACGGGUAGCCGGCCUGAGAGGGUGGACGGCCACAUUGCGACUGAGAUACGGCCCAGACUGCUACGGGAGGCAGCAGUGGGGAAUAUUGCACAAUGGGCGGAAGCCUGAUGCAGCGACGCCGCGUGGGGGAUGACGGCCUUCGGGUUGUAAACUCCUUUCGACCGCGAGGAAGCCACCUGGUUGGAAGGGUGGUGACGGUAGUGGUAGAAGAAGCACCGGCUAACUACGUG